UCUUUCUGUUCAGCCCUUGUUUGGUCAUUGUUGGUGUUACUCCCUGUCAGUUGUGGCUUCCGUCUCCCAGUCUCGUCAAGUAUUUCUUCUAUUUUCUGCUCUUGGUGUUUUGUGGAUUACCUGUGUUGGAUUUUGGUUUAGUUUCUCAUUAUGGCUUUUUAUGGAUUCAGCCACUCAGUAUCCUACGUCAGCUGAAGCUAACACGUGGUUCAACCGCAGAGAAGAACUACUGUAUUGACUAGCAUCCUGUAUGACGGCAAAUCAGAAACCUUUCGUUGUCUGUGGCCACGACGCAAAGUGAAUUUCCUCAUUCCGGCAUCAGUGCAAAAUCUCAAGUAUGUGUUGUAAAGGAGAGAGACAUGCACUUAAGCCGCAUGGCAUCAUGAAGUUUAUAAACCAGUGACAGCGAGGGUAAAGAACAUUUGAAUAAAGUCAGAAAUGAGAAGAUG